rnacentral:rRNA from 1 species
UGGCGGCGUGCUAACACAUGCAAGUCGAACGAGAAGUGGAGCAUCCAUGAGUCAGUGGCGACCGGGUGAGUAACACGUGACUACCUGCCCUUGAGUGGGGGAUACCUCGGGAAACCGGGGCUAAUACCGCAUAACAUCGAUCAAAGGAGCAAUCCGCUGAAGGAGGGGGUCGCGGCUGAUUAGCUAGUUGGUGAGGUAACGGCUCACCAAGGCGAAGAUCAGUAGCCGGCCUGAGAGGGCGCACGGCCACACUGGAACUGAAACACGGUCCAGACUCCUACGGGAGGCAGCAGUGGGGAAUUUUGCGCAAUGGGGGAAACCCUGACGCAGCAACGCCGCGUGGAGGAUGAAGUCCCUUGGGAUGUAAACUCCUUUCGAUCGGGACGAUUAUGACGGUACCGGAAGAAGAAGCACCGGCUAACUCUGUGCCAGCAGCCACGGUAAUACAGAGGGUGCAAGCGUUGUUCGGAAUUAUUGGGCGUAAAGGGCGCGUAGGCGGUGCGGUAAGACUGUGGUGAAAUCUCCGGGCUCAACUCGGAAAUUGCCGCGGUGACUGCCGUGCUCUAGUGUGGGAGAGGUGAGUGGAAUUCCCGGUGUAGCGGUGAAAUGCGUAGAUGUCGGGAGGAACACCUGUGGCGAAAGCGGCUCACUGGACCACAACUGACGCUGAGGCGCGAAAGCUAGGGGAGCAAACAGGAUUAGAUACCCUGGUAGUCCUAGCCUAACGAUGAUUGCUUGGUGUGUCGGGUACCCAAUCCCGACGUGCCGCAGCUAACGCGAU